rnacentral:misc_RNA from 1 species
AUCCACUAAGCAGUAAUUGAGCUAUUUGUUCUAUGUGUUAUCUAACACUUAUUUUUAGAAAUCUAUAUAUUACUGUUAUUUUUAGAAAAUUUCAAAUUGAUUUAGCAUCCUUUUUUAUAUGAUAAGGACUAACAUGCAGAGAGCACUAGUUCCUGCUUUCCUGCUUUUCACAUUUUUGAUAUUAGAGGAAUCUUUGUAGUUAAGGUAAUGGGCAACUUUUGUAGUUAAAUAUUUUUUCUUUUAUAAAUAUACAUAGGCAUAAUCAAAAUAAAUGUGUUAAUAUGCUAAUGUAAAGAUGUUUGCCUCCCUUUAUAGAAAAAAACCUUACAAUUGUUCUAUAGCUUGCUCAACCGGCAUCCAUAACUAAAAAAUCGAUUAUAGCUUUUGUUUUUGUAAAUUUAUUAAUUAUUAAAAUUAUAUAUAUGAUGUCAUUUUUUUUAUUUAUUUAGUGCGAAUUAU